CAUUACAACAUAGGAGUUCAAAUAUGGAUAAUUUGUAAUGAUAAUAUCAAAUAAUUUUUAUUAAUAAAUAUUCAUAUACAAUUACAAAAAUGAGCACAAUCAUCAACAAGCUAACGAUUGGCUUUGAGAUAUAUUUUUCAACAACUGGAUAGGUUUGAACCAAGCCUGGAUAGGAAUAAAUUUGUGAACCCUUUUGAUCUUUCUUUCUUCAUUCUUGAAGAAAUCAAGAACUUUUCUUAAUCUCUCAACUAAUCAAAAAGAGCAACAACCAAGAAAUGGUUAUAACUGACUCCCAACAACUUGAGAGGAAGAGCAUAAAACUAUCUAGAACUUGGCACCAACCAAUAGACACCAAUUAGCUAGAAGGAUGCCGCCCACUUCUCCCUAGCUCCAAGAAGGAUGCCUAGAGAGAGAGGGCAUGGGCUAGAGAGAGAGGAGAGGGAGGCGUGGGCAUAGUAAGGAUAGC
rnacentral:lncRNA from 1 species